GACGAACGCUGGCGGCGUGCUUAACACAUGCAAGUCGAACGGAAAGGCCCUGCCUUUGUGGGGUGCUCGAGUGGCGAACGGGUGAGUAACACGUGAGUAACCUGCCCUUGACUUUGGGAUAACUUCAGGAAACUGGGGCUAAUACCGGAUAGGAGCUCCUGCUGCAUGGUGGGGGUUGGAAAGUUUCGGCGGUUGGGGAUGGACUCGCGGCUUAUCAGCUUGUUGGUGGGGUAGUGGCUUACCAAGGCUUUGACGGGUAGCCUGCCUGAGAGGGUGACCGGCCACAUUGGGACUGAGAUACGGCCCAGACUCCUACGGGAGGCAGCAGUGGGGAAUAUUGCACAAUGGGCGGAAGCCUGAUGCAGCAACGCCGCGUGCGGGAUGACGGCCUUCGGGUUGUAAACCGCUUUCGCCUGUGACGAAGCGUGAGUGACGGUAAUGGGUAAAGAAGCACCGGCUAACUACGUG
rnacentral:rRNA from 1 species